rnacentral:rRNA from 1 species
GACGAACGCUGGCGGCGUGCUUAACACAUGCAAGUCGAACGGAAAGGCCCUGCUUUUGUGGGGUGCUCGAGUGGCGAACGGGUGAGUAACACGUGAGUAACCUGCCCUUGACUUUGGGAUAACUUCAGGAAACUGGGGCUAAUACCGGAUAGGAGCUCCUGCUACAUGGUGGGGGUUGGAAAGUUUCGGCGGUUGGGGAUGGACUCGCGGCUUAUCAGCUUGUUGGUGGGGUAGUGGCUUACCAAGGCUUUGACGGGUAGCCGGCCUGAGAGGGUGACCGGCCACAUUGGGACUGAGAUACGGCCCAGACUCCUACGGGAGGCAGCAGUGGGGAAUAUUGCACAAUGGGCGGAAGCCUGAUGCAGCAACGCCGCGUGCGGGAUGACGGCCUUCGGGUUGUAAACCGCUUUCGCCUGUGACGAAGCGUGAGUGACGGUAAUGGGUAAAGAAGCACCGGCUAACUACGU